rnacentral:rRNA from 1 species
AUACGGAGGGUGCAAGCGGUGUUCGGAAUCACUGGGCGUAAAGGGCGCGCAGGCGGUUUGGUAAGUCAGAUGUGAAAGCCCACGGCUCAACCGUGGAAGUGCAUUUGAAACUGUCAGACUUGAGUACUAGAGGGGAAAGUGGAAUUCCCGGUGUAGAGGUGAAAUUCGUAGAUAUCGGGAGGAAUACCGGUGGCGAAGGCGACUUUCUGGCUAGAUACUGACGCUGAGGCGCGAAAGCGUGGGGAGCAAACAGGAUUAGAAACCCUAGUAGUCC